GAUGAACGCUGGCGGCGUGUUUAACACAUGCAAGUCGAGCGAGAAGUUUUGAAAAGAUUCUUCGGAUGAAAUUUAAAAUGGAAAGCGGCGGACGGGUGAGUAACGCGUAGGCAACCUGCCCCAUACAAAGGGAUAGCAUUUGGAAACGAAUAUUAAUACCUUAUGAAACUUAACUAGUGCAUGCUAGGUAGGUCAAAGAUUUAUCGGUAUGGGAUGGGCCUGCGUCUGAUUAGCUAGUUGGUGAGGUAACGGCUCACCAAGGCGACGAUCAGUAGCCGACCUGGGGAGGGGAACCGCCACAUUUGGACUUAGGCACCGUCCAAACCUCUUCGGGAGGGAAGAGGUGGGAAUAAUGGCCAAAGGGGGAAACCCUGAUGCAGCAACGCCGCGUGAACGAUGAAGGCCUUUGGGUCGUAAAGUUCUGUUCUAGGUGAUGAAAACUGACAGUAACCUAGGAGAAAGCCCCGGCUAACUCCGUG
rnacentral:rRNA from 1 species